rnacentral:lncRNA from 1 species
AUGGUAACCAGCAGACAGACCUGAGAGAAGCAAGGCUGCAGAGAAACUGUAGCCAUCACCAAACAACAAAUCAAAGGGAAGUGUCUCAGGAGAGAUUUCUAAUUAUCAUACAUUUGUCCUUGCAGCCAAACCAGGAUGCAGUGGAAAUGGUGCCUUUGGCACUAGCAUCUUAGGUCACAAAAUCAGGUCCAGAGAGGAUUUAAGUUGCUGGAAUAAUCCACCCAGUCUUCGAGAUGUGAUUAUAUAAUUGAUGGUAUGUGGAUAUCACUGAUCACAAAACACAAUAAAGGACCUAAGGCAACAUCUUUGUUCUUUCUCAAUGUGGGGAAAAUGUUUUUGUUCUACUUGGUAAGUGGCCUCUGCAGUGUCUCUUGGAGACCUCAAUAAAUGAUUAUUUUCCAGCAUUCCAUCACAUGCCAAAUGUUUUACUCCCAUGUCCCUGAGGUUCUCGUCUGUCAGCACUUGUCUUGCAGCUCAGUACAGACAGGGCAUGGGUA